rnacentral:tRNA from 1 species
GCGGGGUUAGCUCAGUUAGUUAGAGCGUGGUGCUAGUAACACCAAGGUCACGGGUUCAAUCCCUGCUCACUGCA